rnacentral:piRNA from 1 species
UACCAUUUCAUUCCGACAAAA